rnacentral:rRNA from 1 species
GACGAACGCUGGCGGCGUGCCUAAUACAUGCGAGUAGAACGCUGAAGAGAGGAGCUUGCUCUUCUUGGAUGAGUUGCGAACGGGUGAGUAACGCGUAGGUAACCUGCCUUGUAGCGGGGGAUAACUAUUGGAAACGAUAGCUAAUACCGCAUAACAAUAGGUGACACAUGUCAUUUAUUUGAAAGGGGCAAUUGCUCCACUACAAGAUGGACCUGCGUUUUAUUAGCUAGUAGGUGAGGUAACGGCUCACCUAGGCGACGAUACAUAGCCGACCUGAGAGGGUGAUCGGCCACACUGGGACUGAGACACGGCCCAGACUCCUACGGGAGGCAGCAGUAGGGAAUCUUCGGCAAUGGGGGCAACCCUGACCGAGCAACGCCGCGUGAGUGAAGAAGGUUUUCGGAUCGUAAAGCUCUGUUGUAAGUCAAGAACGAGUGUGAGAGUGGAAAGUUCACACUGUGACGGUAGCUUACCAGAAAGGGACGGCUAACUACGUG